CACGGGGGGAGCAAGCGUUGUUCGGAUUUACUGGGCGUAAAGGGCGCGUAGGCGGUGCGGUAAGUCACUUGUGAAAUCUCCGAGCUUAACUCGGAACGGCCAAGUGAUACUGCAGUACUAGAGUGCGGAAGGGGCAAUCGGAAUUCUUGGUGUAGCGGUGAAAUGCGUAGAUAUCAAGAGGAACACCUGAGGUGAAGACGGGUUGCUGGGCCGACACUGACGCUGAUGCGCGAAAGCCAGGGGAGCAAACGGG
rnacentral:rRNA from 1 species